CUUUGCACGAUAGGUGGGCCACUGUUGUUGGCCACGAGAAGUUGGGAAGGUAAAGGGAAAAUUAAAAAUAUAUAUAUCUGUAUUCAAAGAUUAAUCGUUGCUAACGAAACAAAAUUCUGAGCGGAAUUCGAUUAUACAUGUUUUGAAAAGUCGUAAUAUUUAUAAUUUGAAAAUAAUGCAUUUCGUACAUUUUCCCAUUUCUC